rnacentral:lncRNA from 1 species
GCAGAUUAGCUGGUCUCACCCAAACGACAGAUGGUGGCCAUGACUCUGGGGAUCAUCUGUGCAUCUCCAUGAACAGUUGGGGGACUGACUUUAAUUAUUAUCUUUCUGCUGUAUCUUGCUGUGAUCGACUCUGGCAUAAUGGGGAUAUCAUCAGACAAUGUCGUCCUUCUACCACCAUCUAAGGAUCAGAUGAAUUUUUGUUAUAAUGUUUCUAGCUGUAAUUCAUCCUUUCCAGAAACAAUACAAAUGUGCAUGUAAAGUCACCAUCUAGUAGCUCUGAUGACCUGUUGAAGUACUUAGGGACUGCACAUGUCUCAACCCUGAAGGCUGCUCAUAAAAUUUUUCACAAUAG